GAUGAACGCUGGCGGCGUGCCUAAUACAUGCAAGUCGAGCGAAUGGAUUAAGAGCUUGCUCUUAUGAAGUUAGCGGCGGACGGGUGAGUAACACGUGGGUAACCUGCCCAUAAGACUGGGAUAACUCCGGGAAACCGGGGCUAAUACCGGAUAACAUUUUGAACCGCAUGGUUCGAAAUUGAAAGGCGGCUUCGGCUGUCACUUAUGGAUGGACCCGCGUCGCAUUAGCUAGUUGGUGAGGUAACGGCUCACCAAGGCAACGAUGCGUAGCCGACCUGAGAGGGUGACCGGCCACACUGGGACUGAGAAACGGCCCAGACUCCUACGGAAGGCAGCAGUAGGGAAUCUUCCGCAAUGGACGAAAGUCUGACGGAGCAACGCCGCGUGAGUGAUGAAGGCUUUCGGGUCGUAAAACUCUGUUGUUAGGGAAGAACAAGUGCUAGUUGAAUAAGCUGGCACCUUGACGGUACCUAACCAGAAAGCCACGGCUAACUACGUGCCAGCAGCCGCCGUAA
rnacentral:rRNA from 1 species